UGAGAAUGGACAGGGCUGACUAGUUGAAGGAAUUAAUAUCUGGUGUCUCUAGGCCCCCUCUGGCUGUGUGACCAUGGGUUCAAUUUGGGAGUCAUGGUAGAUAGACACGGCUGCCUGGGCCCACCUCAUCCUCCAAACUCUGGGACAGCCCCUGGCCCACUGUCGGUGAUGAGAGAUUUCAGAAGAGGAGUUUGUUGGUGGUAUGGAUUUUUUCUCUGCCUGUGAGUGCUUUGCAUGGUAAGAAGCAGGAAUAAGACUGGAAGAAAGCAUGACUAGACAUACCCAGAAAAGUGCAUUCUGGAAGGAGAACUCCCCUGUUUGAGAGCUUUGGCAAUCCUAAAUAAACAAAAAUGCAACAUUUAAAAAAACAGCUCAUCUGGUGUUUCAUGUCUCAUCUGCUGCUCAGUUGGUCUGAGAAUGUGGCCCAAAAGAUGGCUUAGAUGAUCUAUGACCAAGUAAUCCAACCCCCGACAAAAGAUUCAUUAAU